rnacentral:rRNA from 1 species
UCCUGGCUCAGGAUGAACGCUAGCGGCAGGCUUAAUACAUGCAAGUCGUGGGGCAGCAUGAGUAGCAAUACUUGAUGGCGACCGGCAAACGGGUGAGGAACACGUACACAACCUUCCUUCAAGCGGGGAAUAGCCCAGAGAAAUUUGGAUUAAUACCCCAUAAUAUAUUUGAUAAGGCAUCUUAUUAAUAUUAAAGCUUCGGCGCUUGAUGAUGGGUGUGCGGCUGAUUAGAUAGUUGGCGGGGUAACGGCCCACCAAGUCUACGAUCAGUAGCUGAUGUGAGAGCAUGAUCAGCCACACGGGCACUGAGACACGGGCCCGACUCCUACGGGAGGCAGCAGUAAGGAUAUUGGACAAUGGACGAAAGUCUGAUCCAGCCAUGCCGCGUGAAGGAUUAAGGUCCUCUGGAUUGUAAACUUCUUUUAUAUGGGACGAAAAAAGGGCAUUCUUGUUCACUUGACGGUACCAUAUGAAUAAGCACCGGCUAACUCCGUG